GACGAACGCUGGCGGCAGGCUUAACACAUGCAAGUCGAACGGGCGUAGCAAUACGUCAGUGGCAGACGGGUGAGUAACGCGUGGGAACGUACCUUUUGGUUCGGAACAACCCAGGGAAACUUGGGCUAAUACCGGAUAAGCCUUUACGGGGAAAGAUUUAUCGCCGAAAGAUCGGCCCGCGUCUGAUUAGCUAGUUGGUGUGGUAACGGCGCACCAAGGCGACGAUCAGUAGCUGGUCUGAGAGGAUGAUCAGCCACAUUGGGACUGAGACACGGCCCAAACUCCUACGGGAGGCAGCAGUGGGGAAUAUUGGACAAUGGGCGCAAGCCUGAUCCAGCCAUGCCGCGUGAGUGAUGAAGGCCCUAGGGUUGUAAAGCUCUUUUGUGCGGGAAGAUAAUGACGGUACCGCAAGAAUAAGCCCCGGCUAACUUCGUGCCAGCCGCCGCGGUAAU
rnacentral:rRNA from 1 species